rnacentral:rRNA from 1 species
UACGUAGGCAGCGAGCGUGGUUCGGAGUUACUGGGCGUAAAGAGUGCGUAGGCGGUUUUCUAAGGUUGGUGUGAAAUCUCCCGGCUUAACUGGGAGGGUGCGCCGAAGACUGGAAGGCUUGAGUAUGGGAGAGGUAAGCGGAAUUCCUGGUGUAGCGGUGAAAUGCGUAGAUAUCAGGAGGAACACCUGCGGUGUAGACGGCUUACUGGACCAUAACUGACGCUGAGGCACGAAAGCGUGGGUAGCAAACAGG